UGUUGGCUGUGGGGCAGAGCAUCAUGGGAGGGCAGGCUGUUGUCGGCUGUGGGGCAGAGCAUCAUGGGAGGGCAGGCUGUUGUUGGCUGUGGGGCAGAGCAUCAUGGGAGGGCAGGCUGUUGUUGGCUGUUGGGCAGAACAUCAUGGGAAGGAAGGCUGUUGUCAGAGUGUAGAGCAGAGGAUCAAGGGAAGGAAGGCUGUGGUCAGACUGUAGAGCAGAGCAUCAUGGGAAGGAAGACUGUUGUCAGAGUGUAGAGCAGAGGAUCAAGGGAAGGAAGGCUGUGGUCAGACUGUAGAGCAGAGCAUCAUGGGAAGGAAGACUGUUGUCAGAGUGUAGAGCAGAGGAUCAUGGGAAGGAAGGCUGUGGUCAGACUGUAGAGCAGAGCAUCAUGGGAAGGAAGACUGUUGUCAGAGUGUAGAGCAGAGGAUCAUGGGAAGGAAGGCUGUGGUCAGGCUGUAGAGCAGAGUACUGUGGGAAGGUAGGCUGCUGCCAGGCUGUAGAGCAGGACAUCAUGGGAAGGAAGGCGGCUGUGGUCAGGCUGUAGAGCAGAGCAUCAUGGGAAGGCAGGCUGUGGUCAGGCUGUAGAGCAGAGCAUCAUGGGAAGGCAGGCUGUGGUCAGGCUGUAGAGCAGAGCAUCAUGGGAAAGCAGGCUGUUGUCAGGCUGUAGAGCAGAGCAUCAUGGGAAGGCAGGCUGUGGUCAGGCUGUAGAGCAGAGCAUCAUGGGAAGGCAGGCUGUGGUCAGGCUGUAGAGCAGAGCAUCAUGGGAAGGCAGGCUGUGGUCAGGCUGUAGAGCAGAGCAUCAUGGGAAGGCAGGCUGUGGUCAGGCUGUAGAGCAGAGCAUCAUGGGAAAGCAGGCUGUUGUCAGGCUGUAGAGCAGAGCAUCAUGGGAAGGCAGGCUGUGGUCAGGCUGUAGAGCAGAGCAUCAUGGGAAGGCAGGCUGUGGUCAGGCUGUAGAGCAGAGCAUCAUGGGAAGGCAGGCUGUGGUCAGGCUGUAGAGCAGAGCAUCAUGGGAAGGCAGGCUGUGGUCAGGCUGUAGAGCAGAGCAUCAUGGGAAAGCAGGCUGUUGUCAGGCUGUAGAGCAGAGCAUCAUGGGAAGGCAGGCUGUGGUCAGGCUGUAGAGCAGAGCAUCAUGGGAAAGCAGGCUGUUGUCAGGCUGUAGGGCAAAACACAGUUGUCUGGGCUGCAUGGUGUCUGCAGAAGAGCUGGAAAUGGAGGGUGCCAAUACAUGGGUGUUUGUUUGCUGACCCUGGAGUUUGGGGUUAGAAAGGAAGCCGGCUGCCUGUUCCAAAUCUUGACUGAAAUGUCCAUGACCUGAUCAUCUUUAAAAGUGAAUUUUCUUUAUCACUUGGGCCGUCUGAGACGCUGGGAGUCCUGUGGGAUUCCGUGGCCAGCCCAGCACUGACUCCGCUGCUGUCUUCCUGACCAUCUUGGCCUCAAGCCGCUGUUAGCACGAUGUCUCUGAAGAAUUCCAAGUGCGAAUGUUCAGAAGAUGAUCUUGAGGAAAACCGGAGAGCACAGAGCUGCGCAGGCUUCCACAAUCACAGUUGUGGAACACACACCCCUCACAUGCCAGCCACACAACGUGGGGUCUGUCACCUCCCGGUUCUGUCCACCUAGCUGGUGCGGACCUGGCAGGGCCAUCCCCUGUGACGCCCGCCAGAACCCAGGCUCCGGGCGACUGCGUUUGCCCAGGUUGGGUAAGCGCUGGAUGUAGCUUUGUCUGAAGAAGGUGGAGACAUCACCUGCCCGGGGGUCUGACUGUCCCAGGCAAAUCUUGGCACGACAGCCCAGGACCCAGGAGGAGAGCCGGGACCUGUGGUUGCUGCAGCCGGAAUCCACUCCUGUGUUUGUGAUAAAUGAACCCUGCAUUGGAGCCGGGUCAGACCUCAAGGAGCUCCCCAGCAGGGGUGCCUCUCCAACCAGGGGUGUGCCUGCCCGUUCCUGGCCACUCUGCUGUUCCUGGCUGCUUGGGCAGCACAGAGGCCUUGAGGAGCAUGGUCCCCUUCCCUGCUGUCCCCUCCCCCUCUCUUUCCCCAGGCACUGGAUGUCAGGCUUGGACCAAGCCAUUUUCUCCCAGUUCUCAUAUGCUUUGAGUCUUUUAUUUUAUUUGGGGGUAAAAUUAGAUUAGAAGAAAGUUCCCUCUGCGUGACGGUCUCUUCUGAAAGAAAAGGCAAAUCACAGGAUUCCCAGGAGGCGGUGUCUCCUUCACGUGAGAGAAAUACAAUUCGUGCAAAUGUUUCCUCCCCAAGCCGGGACCUGCGUUCAGAGGGAGACGGGCCCUUCAUUCAUUCAUUGAGGGUUUCUUCGGUGCCUACCCGACGGUUUUCUGGGCUCCCGAGGAUAAACUAGUGUGUGUGUGCACACAUGAAGGAAUGCAUGUGACUACAGUAAAAAUCUGAGUUAGUAGCUGUUUCACACUGAAGCUCACAAAUAAACAGGAAAGAGGCAACCCGGCAGUCAUCUUCAAGGCAAAUGAGCCCCGACGUGACCAGGCAGGCGGGCCGCCCGGAGGGGUCCUGGAAAGGCAGGUGGAAGGAGGUGGGCUCAGGAGGAGGGUCCUCAGACAGCAGCACUGGAGGAGCCGUGGGGCUGGGGGACUCGUGGAAGCCCUGGUCCCAUCCCAUGACUGCCUGGCCUCACCGAAGAACAGGAGAUCCCCAGAGACACAGCAGCCAACCUGGACUCAGCCCAGCCACGCUCCCAGCCAGAGUUCUCCCCAGCGGCCAGUCUUCCUUUUCCUGCCAUUGGGUCCCUCUCAGCCUAUCGGGGGACAAUCGUGACCCUCAUAACCAAGAGAGGCAUGCUGCCUCAGAGCCUUCAGAUUCCUGAGGACAGAGAUGCUCCAUUCUCUCUGUUUCCGGCACCCAGGAGGGCCUCUGUGCAGUCUCAUGAUGAGAAGGGCGGAGUCCCACAAAGCACCCUCUCCUUACAGUUCAGACGAGCGUCAGUGUCUCAGUUAACCAACACCUUAGUCCUGAAAGAUGGGCGUCAUCUCCCUCAUUUUACAGAUGGGGAAACUGAGGCUGGGGAAGAAAAGAGGGGUGUGUGUGCAGGAGUCAGACUCAGCCCAGAGGAGACAGGGACAGAGGGACACAAGGCUGGAAGACAGGGCUGGGCUGGGGAUGGGGAGGCUGCCUUAGAUCGGGGGAUAUGGCUCCACGUGAUGCUUGCCAGGGUUUGGGGCAUUCUUGGUGUUAGGAGUUGGGGCAGGGGUGCUGCUGCGUGACUGGCAGGUGGGCACCCUCCACACAGUGGGUGGAGGCAGGAGCGAACUGAGCAUCGGAACGCCCACAAUGGUAGUGGCCCAGCCGCAAACAUCAGAAGUGUCAAGAUGAGAAACCCUCCAUGCCCUGGCAGGAGGGCACGCAGCGUCAGGAGGGGGUGCCGCCUGGAGGAGGCUGUCACCAGCCCCAACUGACAAGGCCCCUCCCAGGCUGCGCACUGCAGCUGAGCAGAUAAAGGAUCUUGAAUCUUCAGCUUAAUCAGAAGCAGCCUUGUCAUUCUGAGAGUCAAGGGGACUGGGUAUUUUUUUCCCCCUUUAUUUUUCUUUUCUUAACUUCAGAUGAACAUAAUUGAAGGAAGCCGUCGCCCUUCUCUCUGGAUAGAGACAAGCCCUUGAGGCUGGCGGGGACGGGGUGCAGAGCACAGCUGAGUUCUGGUCCUUCAGUGGUAGUGGGGGAGGAAAGGGGGCUGGUGAGGGCUCUACGGUGGGCAGAAGGCUGAGGACAGAUGCUGACCCCUGCCCUCCAAGAAGGAAAAAGGCCCAGAGUCAUUUAACUCAAGCUGCCUGUCCCCCUGCAGGACAAGCACCCUCUGCCCCACUUACCCCACACCCAGCACAGAACCUCUGGGUGUGAAGCUGUUUCGUGCUCACGGCAGCCUGCAGAGCACUCUGAUGGGACCCUUCCCAUCUCCCACCCCUCACAUCACAGCUGCAGGCCCAUCUGUCUCUCCUCCCGGGAGGGGCCAGGACCACGGCCACUUGGUUCCCCACCCACCCCGCCUAGUUUGGCCGAUGCAAUUACCAGACCCGAAGGAGAGCCCUGAGUCUUACAGUGCCUGGCUGGGUGCAUCGAGGCCCAGGGAGGCCCCGCACCCAGCUCCAACACCAGCCUGGUCUCUGUGCUUGGGGCAGUAGAGAAGUUCCUUCAAGUUUCCUUUCUUGCUAAAUCACAGGUGUGCUAAUAACUCUGUGAAGCCCUAUCCUCUGCAGCUGUGAGACACGCCGUGCUUACAGACACGUAGUACAUUCUGUGUCCUUGUACUUUAACCAAGAUGUCUGUGCUGGACGUGCUCACAGGCGUGUCCCAGCUCUCCACUGCUUUUACCUGCUUAGAAAAGUUUUAAGUUGUUAACUAAUCGGGAUUUAGUUUAGAUUGUGAGGUCUGGCUCCAGCCAGCGGAGAUCAGGCACAGCAGUAAGGACGACCCCGGAUGCCUAAGGAAUACAUUUGUGUGUUUUUCUUUGUUCUUUGUACUCUCAUGCUAAGAUGGCUGGCGAGGGUCACCUUCCUGCAGCCCAGGAAGUAAAAAUUUCAUUGCUGAAAGA